GCGAUCACAACUCCUACUCCGUUCAUGGACACCGAAACCGUGGAACUAUUGGUGACGGUAACCAAAAACAAACUAAUGAAUGUCAUACGCAGAAAAGGCCCCGUAUCCAAAAUCACGCUGCACUUCUCUAAGCGGAUGAUAUCAAAAUUAAAAAACCGUCGUAAUCGCGUUCAUUAAGAUCUUCGGUUAUAUUUAAUAUUUGAAUUUGUACAAUUUUAAUUUUUUUUUCUUAUUGUUAGUAAAUGACCCUAAGUCAUUAAGUCAGGGUGUUCUGUUUAAGUCGGUGCAUUCAUUAUCUCGGAAAGUAUCAACUUUUUAGUAUCAACAAAAGACUCCUUUUAAGAUGAUACACGCUGGAGUAGAAGAACAGAAUAUUCUAAGGACAAAACCGAACAUUCCUGAUUCAGUGAAGUACAGGUAAUAAUUAAAGAAAUGUAUUACCUAUUUUAUUUUUAUAACAAUUUAUAAUUUAUUAUUUCUGUUGUAAUGGACGAAGUUAUAAAGGAAAUACAAGGCGAUGUGAGGUAUCAUGGUGCAUAAUAUUUACAGAUUUUAUAGUUUUGAUAAGAGAAAAUUUGGAAGAAGUUAAUAAUAAACUUUAGGAAUGGAGAGUAACACUUAAAGGAAAGGGAUUAAGGAUAAAUUUAUGUAAAACAGAGUUUAUAUAGUUUGAUUUUGAAGGAACAGGACAAGACAGCUAAUGACAAUAAGUAGUGAUAGGUAAGAUUAAGAGUUUUAAGUAUUAAGAUCUUUUUUUAAAAAAGAAUGGUGGCUUUGAUGAAGAUGUGAAACAUAGAAUUAAGUAUGAUUUCAAUGAGAUUUAAAGGUAAGUUAUACAAGAGUGUGGUAAUACCAGCUAUGUUGUAUGGUUUAGAGUGUUGGGUAGUAGAUGGGAAAAUAGAACAGAAAAUUAGUGUAGCAGAAAUAAGAAUGCAUAAAUUGAUAAAUGGAGUGACGAAAGAAGAUAGAUUAAGGAAUAAGUACAUAAGAGGUAGCUUAGGUGUGGCUUCUAUAGUAGACAAAAUGAGAGAAAAUAAACUCAAAUAGUCUUGGUAUGUCAUGAGAAGAGAGGAAACGGAAGCUGUAAGAAUUAUGAUGAAAAUAAAAGUUGAUGGAAAGGAGAGGAGAGAAAGACCAAAAACGAUGUAGUUGGAAUGAUGUGUGAAUGGCAUGUGUAUGCAAGGAUGACAUGUGGGAUCGAGUCAAGUGGAAAUAUUGGACAAUGGUGACAGACCCUAAAUAGUUGGAAUAAAGGCGAAGUAGAAAAAGAAGUAAUAAUUUAUAAUUAUUAUGCUCCUAUAUUAUAUCUUUGUAAUAGAAAUCUAUCGAUUCAACAUGAUAUAUUAACUGCAUCAUCUGGGGUUACUACUCUUUCAACUGAAUCUUCAAAGUACAACAGGUGAUAAUAACUACUUUUUUAUAAAACAAUUGUUAUAAAUCAUGGUUUUUCUACCUUAUAGAGUGUCCGUUAUAAGAAGGUGGUUUUAAUGUAUAUUAUGGCAGCUCUUAAAUGGAUCAUGGUUGAACUUUUAUGAAUGCACCCCCUAAGAUAGNAAUUUGAAAAUAUCAAAACCAAUAAUGCUGUAAGCUUUUCCCAUAUUUUCUACAUUUUUUCCCAAUUGUAAUGAAAACUGUUUAGAAAAUUAAAAAAUACCUCCUCUAUGUACUAACUACAUUUAACUAAUUUUGGAUCAAAAUAAAACAAAAAGAAAUUUCUUUUAAUUUUUUGAUUGGAACAAGAUUUCUAAUAGUUGCUGAUAGUCGCAGAAAAAAAAAAAUUUAAAAGAAAAUAUACAUGUAUAAAACCAAUAUGGUCUUCACUCUGCUCAGAAUCUAAAAGUAUGUAGUUAUUUUCUAAUUUUCAGUAGGGAAGUAACCUUAUAAAAUUAUCAAAAUAAAAUGUAAAUACAUUUUUAAAUUGCUUUUAUAUUUUUAUUUAUAAUAAAUAACUAACUGUUUAAUAAAUAUUUGAGAUGAAGGUGAAGGAGAAGAAGAGAACGUUAGUUUAAUGAGUUAGCGUAUUUGAGAAACUUGCUUAGCUUUGCUAUCUAUCCUGUUUUCAAGCUCACCAUCAAAAUAUAAUUAUUUUAAUAAAAUAAAUUUUGAAAUUGAAUAUUAACGUGUAUGAUGGAGAGUCCAAAAAAAAAAAAAAAGGUACAAAUGAAAUAUGAAUUCUUUUUUUUAUACCCACACAUUUUACUCGAGAUGGUAUGUAUUUUAUUGAAGUACACUUAAAUAUUUAAAUAUUUGGACCCGACAGCUGACAUACGCUAGUCAAUCUGUUCAAGAAUUCAUUGAGAUUAUAAUAUUUGUUGUUUCGGAUUUGAAGCGUAGCGAGGAAUCUAUCGGUUUUAUUAUGGUGUAUUACUUUUUGACCAGAAAUCUUGCUCCAAUUGAAAAAUGACAAGAUCCUUUUUUUGAAUUUCGUAUUUUGUUGGUGCAUUUUUUAAUUUUCCAAUCAGUUUUCAUAAUAAUUAAGAAAACCCAAAAACUAUGUAAAAUGUAAACUCACAAAUGUAUUAAAUGAUUAGUACAUUAAUCGUAGUUUGUGGCAGAGAAAAUGAGUUAUAAAAUUACUCUAUUUUAUAAUUUUAAUUUAGUUUACAAUGAUUUUAUAAAUAAUAAUGUUACUUGUUAAGUAUAUAACUAAAAUAUUAUUACAAUAUUCUGUAAUAUAAAAUAAUAAAAAUUGAUAUUGUUGGAGUUAAUGUUAAAAUAGUUUAAACAAAUUUAAAAUAGGAAAAUCAUAAGAAAACUGGGAAAAUUGGUACAACAUUUAAUACAUUUUACUUAAGAAAAUAUAUAAAGCCUAUUUAAUUAUUUUACUAUAAAAUGACAUAUAUAUUGUUGACAAUGCAUUACUAUUAACUUAACUCCGCUCAGAAUCGUUUUUUUUGGAAGCAAUAAAACGUGGUGUAAUAAAGUGAAUUGUUGCUUAUAGAUAUACAUUAAAUUCCUGUUUGUAUCUUACCUUCCCAACUUUCCAUCUACACUAGUGGCUGUACCCGUUUCCAUUAUCUUAUCUUUCUAUUUUUAUCUUUUAAUUGUUAUAAUUUAAAUUUUCUGAUUAACCAUAUUAAUUUAAUCAUAAUUAAGGUAUUCAUAUAAAAUGUUUUACUUCUAAGCCAAUCGAGUGUUAUAAAUCAAACUGAUGAGAGAAUUUAUUUUACUCAACUCAGAAAUGAUCUUAUUUGUUAAAAGGAACUCAAGGAAUUGAAAAGCUGAUAUUACAAAAUCAUCAGAUCAAAAGUACCAAAAGUAGCAAAAAAACUACCUAAGUUUAUGUGCAUAAAAAUAAAAUAUCAGAGGAAUUAAAAACUAAUGAAGAAAUAUAAAUGAUUUAUUGGUUUAGUUUAUUCAUUAUCUAUUUGUAUCACACCUUAGUUUUAUUAACUUCUGUGUGCUAAUAAUCAGAUUAUUAAAAUUAAAUUCUAUAUAGCAUUAUGUAGGGUUUUGACUUGUUGAAUAAAAUUAAAAUAAUCAUAUAAAAUUUUAAAGGUAUUGAAAAAUGUACAGGUUUUAUUAUUCAUGUGUUAAACUACUUAACUAUACAAGUAAUUGGUAUUUAUCUAAUAUCAUAACCUAUACAUACCCUAUUAUAAAUUAUAUAUGCUAUUAAUGUCAGUUUUUGUUAUAUUAAUUUCAGGAAUUCUGUACAAAUGUCGCAUCAAUUUUAAAUAAAAUUACAAGUGAUAACAUUAUUACUUUAGCUGAACAUUUUAGUGCAUUAACCAAUUGAUAUUGUUGAACUACUAAAGAAAAUAGUUGAUUUAAUUUUUGAAAAGGUGAUUUAUAAGCAAUGAAUAAAAUAUCUCUAAAUUAUUACUCAUUAACUUGUUGUUUAUUUUGUUGAUUUUUUAUCUUACAUUAUAGGCAAUUAAAGAACAAUGUUUUCACCUCAUUAUGUGGCUCUUUGCUCGGCUAUGAAAUCUGUGCAAGUAAGUUCUGGAAAAGAUAGGAAUAAGACAAUAUUUAAGAAACUAAUUAUCAGUAAAUGUCUGCGCUUAUUUGAAUCAGAAAAGGCACAAGAAAUGGAUUCUAUUAUAAAACUUUCAGGAAUAAAUUCUUGCACAGACCCAGUAAUUUAAUAAUUGUUCUAACUUACCAAUUAAUGCAUACUUUUAUUUAAUAAAUUAAACCAUUCUAGGAAAAGACAAAAGUAUUACAAACUAGAGUUUGAAGAAAAUGAAAGAAGAUUACACAAGCGUUCGGUAUGGAACUGCCAGUAAAAUAAAUAAAAUACAUAAUUUAUUAGAUUUAUUAAGAUUAACAGAUCUAGGAAUCAUCUCUAAAAUAAUAAAUAAAGCAUCAAAAUAGUUAGGUUUUAUAAUAUGUUACUGCUGAAAUUUUACAAAUAUUAUUACCUUAAAAUCACUAUUCUGUUUACUAGUCUGAUUAUGUCUUGAAUAUAACUCUGGUGAUGAAAAAAAAAAAUAUAUGUUUUGUGCACCUUCUAUAUGGGUGUGUAUGUGUACAAAAAUUAGCUACAAAAUUUUUUAGGUGAAUCGGAUGAAUUUCACCUUUACCGAAUUGAACUUAAGUUUGAAUUUGAUACAUUUUUCAUUAUUUAUGAAAAUUUUCAACAUUUCAUAAGUANGAUAAGGUAAAUCUAAAUUUAUUUUUAUGUAUAUUUAUAUUAUAUUAUAUUUAUAUAUUUAUUCAUACCUACUAAAUAUUGGUUCCUUCAGAAAUAUCAACAUUUUUUUAUCUUAAAUAUUUUAAAGUAAACUAAAUUUCUUAUAACUUUUAUAUAAAUUUUUUUUUUUCAUAUCUCAUACUGUUCAUAAAUUAUAUUGACUUGAUUUUAUCAAAUCACAAUCUUUGUAUUUUUUCAUAGGUAUUAAUAAUAAAUAAUAAUAUUGGCUAAAACGAUUUUAUAUAAUUCCCAUAGGACUUUUUCUUUCAAUUAUAAUAAUCAUAAUACAAAUAUAAUUAUUACCAGAUACUAAAGUUAAAAAUACAACUGUUAAACGACUUACAAUUGUGAUGACAAGUUAAAAUAGAACAAAUUUUAAACAUUCCACAACUUGAAACAAUCAACAGACGAAGAACAGGCUCUAACUAUGUGUAAUGUAUUACAAGAGGGAAUUAUUUGUUAUUGUUCAAGCUUUGUGUUGUGAUACAACUGUGUCCAAUACAGAAUGCUUAAAUGGAGCAUAUAAUAUAAUAGAACAAAAAGUACUUAAAGAUCUGUUUAUGAAAUUAAAAUACUACAAGGGCCAUCAAGCCUUGCUAUUCAUUAUUAAAUUUUAUGUUAAAGCUUGGUUUAAUUACCAACUGCUGAAUAAAUCUCCAAAUCAAGAUUUACAAUUUCUAAAAGAUUUGAAAUUAUAUGAAGAAUUGCAUAGAGACAUAUCUACAGUAUCAAUCAAAAAUCAACUAAUCAUUUAUAGUAUUUAAAUGAAUAAACUGCAGCACUAUUUUUUUUUUUUUGAUGAUUUUAUACCAUUAGAAGUAAAGUUUUAGAUGGCAGAAGCCUUGAAAAAAAAAAUACAAAAUCCGACAAAACAAAUGAUGAUUCAACCUAACCAAAUAGAUAAUCAAUUUAUAGGUAAAGAAUAAACCCAGUUUAUAUAAUAUAUAUUUAAAAAAAAUUAAUAAUUUAUAAAAUGAAACAUAAACAAUAAAUUUCAUUUUUUACAGAAACAAAUAUUGACACAUUUAUUUCACAAGGUAGCUUAAAAUUAUUUUUUCGAUUUAAUAUUGAUAACAAAUUUUUAAUAAAUGUUCAAACAUCUUGGAAAUCGAAUGCAAGCCUUAUUAAUUCACUAAAAUUAGAAAAUGAUACUGCAGAACGAGCAGUUAAACUGAUGGAAGAAUACAAUGCAACAUUAACAUUAAACUAAGAUCAAAAACAAUUUAUAUUAAAAUUUGUACAGGAACAUCAGAAAAUGUAUCCAGAUUAUAAAAAAAAUUCACUAUAACAUUAUCUAUACUAUAUUAGUAUUAUAUUAAAGUAUUUUUUUUUAUUUUUAUGAUAAAAAUAUAUAUUUUUUAAGAAACAAAUAUAAUUUUAAAUAGAUUUAUGUUAAAUUAUAAACAUAAUUAACCAAUAUUAUUAUUUAUUAUUAAUAACUAUGAAAAAAUAUGAAAAUUAUGAUUUUAUAGAAUCAAGUCAAUGUAAUUUAUGAAUGGUAUAAGAUAUGAAACAAACAAUUUCUAUUAAUGUUAUGUGAAAUUUAAUUUACUUUAAAAUAUUUAAGAUUAAAAAUGUCGAUAUUUCUAACAGUUAACGAAAUAUUUACAAAAUGUUGACAAUUUUUGUAAAUAAUAAAAAGUGUAUCAAAUUCAAGCUUAAGUUCAAUUUGACAUGGGUUAAUUUAAUCUCAUUCACCUAAAAAAUGUUGAAGUUCAUUUUUAUAUAUAUACACACUUAUAUAGAAGGUGAGAACAAAUAUAUUUUAAAAUUGAAAAUAAGUAACACCCUAAUAGAGAGGCACAUACAUCUUAUGAGCCAUUACUCAGUAUAUUAAAUUUAAAUACUUUUGAAAUAAGAAGGAAAAAAUUAGAUUUAUUCUUCUUACAUAAAUUUCUUAAUAAUUUAAUUGAAUGUCUUAAAUUAUUAUGUUUGAUUAGUUUUAAGGUUCCUAAAAUUAAUUUAAGAAAGUAAUCAAUUAGUAACAAAUGCACCAAUUAUUCGUUAAAUAAGUAUAGCUAGCUAAUAGGUACAAUAUUACAAUAUUGAUCUUUUUGUGAAUAAAAAAGUAAUGUGAAUUUAACUUUUAACUGAAUAAUAAGAUAAACAAUUUUUAUUGUAAUUAGAUCUUGUAUCUAUAUGAAUUAUAUAAAUAUAUAAAUUUAUUUUAAUUCUAAAAAGAAUAAUUUAAACAAAAUUGAUUAGAUUCAUUGGUGACUUGUUUAAACAAAAUAUUCUCAGUUCAAUUAAUAUAUUGUACUGCAUUGUGAACUUAGUCAUUAAACAUGUAGAAGAACCACUUGAAUGUUUAUGUAAUUUGUUAACGACUGUUGGAAAAGAAUUGGAACGGGUAAAUAUAACUUCUUAUUAAAUGUACUUUUAAUAGAGGCCUAGAAAAAACUUGAAAUUAUUAUUUUAUAUUUUUUCGGUCCUAUAACUUAAACGAGACUUUUGAUAAAACAUUUGGCUUCCAAAGAAAUGGAAUCGAAAAUUUCACCAAGAAUUAGAUUUAUGAUGUAAUAGAUUUACGAAAAGAUAAAUGGAUACCUAGGCAUAAUGAUAGUAAAACCUAAGUUUGUUAAUGAAAUAGUAGUUAUAUAUAAAUUAAUAUAAGUUGAAAUUGACAUCAGACAUAUAGGUUUUAAAUUUUUGUUGACGAAAGCGGUACUAUUUAAGAGUACAAAUUAUUCGCGCCCCCCCCCCCCCCCAUGGAAUUGACUCGAAGACGCUCUUGAUUAAUACUAUUAACCGAACUCCGCUCUGAAUCGAUUUUUGUUGGCAAUGCUUAAAUUUGCUUGGGUACGUUAGAUAGGCAGACUACUUGCGAUAGAACUCAUCCAAGAUAUUCUAUGCGGCCCCACUCUGGAGGACCUUCUCGCUGACCUGCGUACAAGGGUCAGGCUGCUUCACAAGGCGCAGACUCAGGCAGAGAACUUUGGAAGGAUGGUCGACGGAAUCCUAAGUACCAAGGAGCAGAAAAAAAGGGACAGGCAGGCUGACGAGGUUGCGAGCCACCAACGGCUUCAGUAACCUAGAAAUACCAUUCUAUAAAUACGGACGGUACGUCGAUACCAAUAUCGAGAAAUUCGGAGGUGCUACUGACACCGUCCGUACCACCAUGGCAUCGGGAGGGUGGAAGGCCAGCGACGGCGGAUGCAACGGUAAAUUAUUACAAAUUAUAUGUUUAAAUUAAAGUGUUCUUUUGUAAAAUUAAAAAUUAAAUAAUUCUUAAAGUUAAUCGAAAUCCUAUAACUCAAUAAUAAUAAUUAAUCGUUUACCUUUAAGCCUCCGGUGUCUCUCAAAGACCAGAACCAACCCAUAUUCUGGGAGUGACAACAGGUGGCGAAAUGCAAUUCUUAUGACCGCAGUUGACUCCAAGAUAAAUUACUUGGACAAGUUUAUUAAUCACGAACAAACCAUUCAAUAGUAUUUAUUAUUACUCACAAAAUGAAAUAUUAGUAUUCUUUAAUUUGGAAUCCAUCGCUAUAAAUGUUGCAGUAUAUUAUUACUAAUAAUAAGUUUUGGUUUUAAAUAAAAUUAAAAUUAAUGUUUUUUUAUAUUUAUAAUAUACACUCGUGACGUAUUUAUAAGUGAUAACGAGUUAUUUGAUUCUUGUUGAUUCAUUGGUCCAAUCAAUGGUCCUAUAUAAUCGACGAAUCCUCCCUGGAAUGAAUUUCACGAGACAAAACACGUUUUUACCCAAGCCCUUUCCAGAACCGGAUUUCAGGUACCACAAAUUAAUGAAAAGAAACACGGUCGCUAUUAAGUAAAAAUUUGUUUAUUUAUAUACUUUAAAUAUAAUAUAAAUUUAUUUAAACGUUGUGUAGGUUAGGUUAUAAAGAGCUACACCGAUUUUCUUACUCGGAGGUCUUAGGCAUAAGCCUACUUGCCCCUUCCCCUUAAUCCGGGUCUUACCUCCACCAACCGACCUAAUCCUUUGGACGAUCUUUUGCGAUCGUCAUUGUGAUGUAAUUUUUUGUUUAUAAUUUCUCGUACUUUUUGGUUACUAGAAAACUUUCUCCAUCACUCUGAUCUCAUACCAAUCGAAGCUUUUUUUUAUCGAUUAUUUUUCAGUGUAUUAUUAUAGUAAUAAUUUUUAGUGUCAGUCUUAGUGUAAUACAUUAUUGAAUUGGCGGAUUCGUAGGUAGUGCUUAAAGAAUAAAGAGAGCAAAUUUUGGAUUGUCAUUUUUUAAGUACCUAUAUAUAUAUAAAAAAAAAAAACUACAACAGUGAAAUCAACGAAUAACUAAUCGCCGUGCUUUGUUGCUUAUAAAAUUUAAAACCCAUGCAAUUUCGAUGGAGUUUACUUUAUUAUUUAAUUGAAGAUGUUUAGUGGCAAAUAAUUGUUGUAAAAAACACAACAAGGUUCGGAAAUCCGCCUGUGUAUUUUGUAUAUUAUUUAUUAUCGUUUUAAUUGUAAAAUGUACAGGGAAAAAAAAUAAUUGUACAACGCCCUUGUCCCGCGACUAUUACGUUUUAUGAAUAGUCUACGGAGACGUCGUUGAAAGUUAGGACUAAUUUUUUAUUUUAGCCACGAUUUUUGUAAAUAAAAAAAUCCCGCCUCGUACCAAUUUAAAUUUUUAACUAAUAAUACAUAAAAACGACUUUAGGAAAUAUUUUUGUGUGUACAAUUUUUAAUAAAACAGUUUUUUAAAAACCGAUUUGUGUCUUGUCAUAGCCAUAGUGAGGUUCACAAAUCAAAACGAAUUCACAUAAUAUAAUAUUUAUUCAAUAUAAAAUGUUAUAUAUAAAAAUAUUAAUUUUUCUAUUUUCAUGUAUUUUGUGUAUGUGUGCAUGUUACAUAUUGUAGUUUGAUUUUUAUCAUCCGACUUUUUAUUAUAGAUGUGUUAGGCGCAUAAAAAAAAACAGUUGAUAUAGCAUUAAAAUUAAUAUGAUAUUUACUGUGUUUUAUUUUAUUCGCUAUAUUUUACUAUGUUGUUUUAUAUAGACAUUACGAAUGCUAUAUUAUCNAAAAUAAUUGUACAACGCCCUUGUCCCGCGACUAUUACGUUUUAUGAAUAGUCUACGGAGACGUCGUUGAUAGUUAGGACUAAUUUUUUAUUUUAGCCACGAUUUUUGUAAAUAAAAAAAUCCCGCCUCGUAUCAAUUUAAAUUUUUAAUUAAUAAUACAUAAAAACGAUUUUAGGAAAUAUUUUUGUGUGUACAAUUUUUUAAAAACCGAUUUGUGUCUUGUCAUAGCCAUAGUGAGGUUCACAAAAUAUAAUAUUUAUACAAUAUAAAGUGUUAUAUACAAAAAUAUUAUUUUUUCUAUUUUCAUGUAUUUUGUGUAUGUGUGCAUGUUACAUAUUGUAGUUUAAUUUUUAUCAUCCGACUUUUUAUUAUAAAUGUGUUAGGCGCAUAAAAAAAAACAGUUGAUAUAGCAUUAAAAUUAAUAUGAUAUUUACUGUGUUUUAUUUUAUUCGCUAUAUUUUACUAUGUUGUUUUAUAUAGACAUUACGAAUGCUAUAUUAUCUUGUAAAUAGUUAAAUUUUUUUUGUGUUAAACUUAAUAAAUGUCUCAUGUUUUUUUACAAUAUUGUGUAAUAUUAUAAGUGUAUAUAUUUUUUUCUUGUAUGGUUUUCUUGCCACUUUGACAGACAAAUAUUAUUGAGUUUUCAGCAAAUAGGGAAAUCACAAAUAAAUAAUGAAUUCUUCGAAAAUAGAAAAAUAUUGUUUAAUAAAUUAACUUAGAAGAUACAUCAUAGAUAAUAAUUAAUAUUGUUUGUACAAAAAUAAUAAUAUUAAUGUGUCUUUGUGAUGCUUUGUGAAAAUUCAGCAAUUGAGAUAGGUGAUGAUGGACUACAGUUCGUCCAGUUAGAUCAGUCUGUCAAAAUAUUCUUUUUUCUUAACAGGGUCAGGAAUUAUCUGGAAAAAAUAAUUAAAAAUUACAAAAAUUUAUAAUAAUAGCUGAUUGGAAAUUAAUAAAUUAAUAAAAUAAAUAUUCUGUUUUCUUCAGUCCGACCAUUAAUUACUAUAACAAAUUAUUGUUUAAUAUUUUUUAUUUAAUAAACAUAAGUUAAUGUUUGAGCUGUGUGCCACAAAGUUGUAAAAAGUGUAUACUAUUAUCAAAUGAUUGUCUUUUUUUUUUUUGUAAUUCAUCAUAUUAUGCAAUAGAGUCUGACAAAAUAAAACUGUCCUAGAACGAUAAACAUGUAAAUAAUUUGAAAAAUUAGACAGUACUAAUACAAUAUUAAUGUUAUUAUUACAAAGCCUGCAAAACAAUCAUAAGUUGAAAACUAUAUUUCAAUUAUUCUGUAAAAAGUUAUAAACUUGUUUAAAAUAUUCCAUUUAGUUAAUUACUACUGUCAAAACUAUGCGCAAUCAAUUAUUUCAAAAAAAAAAAAAAAACAUUAGCCAGAAUAUUGGUUUAACUGCACUAUUCGAACUAUUAUUUUUCGAUUAUUUACGUAUUUUAUUCUUAUUGCCAAAGGGUACAUGAAAAUUAGAUUUAUUUCUUUAUUCAAAAGCAGGGAUUUUAAAACUAAUUUUUGACAGUAAUUCAGUAAAUAUUUCUUAUAUAUAUACAUAUAUAUAUUUUAUUACACAUAUGACCUAUAUUUCGUUUCAUACACUACAGACAAUAAUCUCUCAUAGAGGCCAACCUUACGCAUCUCCCUCCAACCCUGUUUUGAGAUUUUUGGAAUAGUACCAUAUUAAAAUGGUUUCAUCCCCUGAUAUGUAGGACAAUUGGUAUUUCUAAAAUUCUUUCAGUUAGUCUCCUUUGGAACAUUUAUUUUUAAAAACAGUAGAUAGGUCUUAAAAAAAAAAUUGUGUUCAUCAUGGAUAUUAAAUCUAACGAAUAUAAGUAUUUUAUAUGGCGUUAUAUACAUUUAAAUAAUUUUAAGUAAAAUAAUAUUAUAUCAUUUCAGGAAAUUGUUGAGUUGCUUUUUAGCAAACCGGUUGCUGAGCUAUUUCACAAAUCUUGCGGCCUGUUUAAUUUUAUAAAAAUUAUGUCAUGUGUGUUACAAAAAAAAAAGGAAUAUUUUGUAAAACAUACUGUCUUGUUAAUAAUACGAAAAUUUAAAAUUUUAUUUAUUUAAAAUUUAGUAAAAUAAAUUAUUUAGCAUCAUUUAUUACUUAAUAUGCUUUCUAUGAUAUAGAAUUAAGUUUAAGGUUAAUAUAUGAAAAUAUAUAUAUUGAAAAAUCAGAUAGAGGACAUAUAAAUUGGAAUCAAUAUUUAAUAUAUCAAAGUGUCACAUCUCAUAAACCAGAGAUACUGUGACAUACUAUAGUUGUAUCAGUUGUAUUAUUAAUUAUUAUUCUAUUAUUUACUUAUAUUUAGUCAUGAUAAUUUGGAUGAACAAUUUAUGCAAACAAUGGAUGUAAUGCAUUUAAAGUCUACUGGAAAUAGGUAAAUUUACAAUCAUUGUUUUUGGCUAUAACAUUUUGUGAAAAGUGAUUAUUAUUAAAUAUUAUGCUAUUAUAUAUUUUCAGAAAUUGCGGAAGAAAAUGAUCAAUAGUAUUUAUUAUUACUCACAAAAUGAAAUAUGAAGUUAUUGUGUAUUGUUUUUAGUUGUUAAGUUAUCAUAUUGUUAGUUUAAACUUGAAAUAAUGUUUUAAACAAAAAAGUAUAAUUAUUUAUUUUGUUCAUUUUAUUUUCAACGGUUACGGUAUUAUAUUAAUUUGACUUAUAACAUCUGUAUUAUAUAUGCAAUAAUUAGUUCAGUACCUACUGUUUUUUUUUUAUUAUAUGCUAAUUAUCUUGUAUCACACUAUAAAUGAGACACCCUAGGAUAAUGGGGACGGGUGCAGCCUCUGUUAUUGGUAACUUAAUGUAUACCUGUAAGCAACAAUAAACCAUUGCUUAUAAAAAAAACGAUUCUGAGUGGAGAUCAGAUGAUAAUGAUGCUUUGUCAAUAAUUUAUGUCAUAUAGUAAAAUAAUUAAAUAGGCUCU